AUGCCGGCCGCCUGGCUCCUCGACUUGAACCCUGGGGCCUGGCGUGGUCAGAGCAGCUUGGCUGAACAAGGCCCCAAGGAGAAUGGAUGGACAGAUGGACAGAUGGACAGACAAACGGAUGGACACAUGUGGACACAGAGACGUCCAGAGGAAGGAGAGCCCGCCUUGCUCCCGUGCCCGCCCCCCACUCAGGAGGACGCGGCUCUCAGGGGCCUCCUCCCACCGCAGUCCGUGACCAAGGGCCAUCGCAGCCCCCUGCAGGCGCUCCUGGUUGUCACGCCUCCGGGGUCUGCAGCACAGGUGGGUCUGGUCGGUGGAAGCCGGGGACACGAGACGAGCCCCAGACAACAGAAAACUCCCCACCCACAACGCCAGGAGGCUGAGGGGAAUCGCCAGUGAGCUGACAGGUCUGUCUCCAGGCUCGGGGCUCCUGGGGCCCCCAAGGCUGGCCCUCCGGCCAGGCCUGGGCUCCGCAGCAGGUGGGCGUGUGCCUGGCAGCGAGCGGCGCCUCCAGCAGUGGCUUGCUCCCCGUUUCCUGCAGGAGGUCACCUGAGGGCAGAGGAUGCUGCAGGCAGGGCGCCGGGGAAGGCGGAAGGAUUACACAGGGGACUUCCGCUGGAGGCCGCAGCGGGGGUCAGUGGGGGCUGGGGCAGGGGCUGGGGUGUGGUGUGGGGGCUUGGCUAGGGGUCAGGGGCUCCCUCCCGGCCUGCUA
rnacentral:lncRNA from 1 species